GGCAGGCAGGCGGGCUGGGAGUUUGCAUGGAAAUCAUGAACUCUUUCUUGCCUUUCUCUUUUGAAAUGCUUUGGGAGGAGAGUUAAGAAUAGAGCAGAAACUGGUGUCUCUCUCUCUUUCUCUUUCUCUUCCUGUCUGUUUAUUUUUUAUUUUUUGCGUGUGAAGAAUGACCAGAAGCAUAAAAGCUAAAUCUUCCAGCAAGUGCAAGACAUUUCCUUGGUAUUUGCAGUAAACCUAACAGGAUGAACUGCUGCCUGUAAAAUCUUAUGCCAAAAUACCCAAAAGGAAGGGGAUGGGACAGCAAAGUGAUAGCACAAAGGCUGCCUCCGAGAGCUUUUGUCUACCUUUAACUCAUUGUGCUGGGAAGCGUUCUGCUAAUGCAUCACACUGAGGACAGAGUGAGGAAACAAGAGAAUUUAGGUGUACAGAGGAACACGAUGAUCUAAUUCCAUCUCCUCGUGGAACUCAGACAGAAAAUGAAGUGCAUAGAAGGGAAAUGGUGGGCUUAAGCUGACUCAGAGCAAGAGGCAAAGUUGGACAUUCCAAAGAUGGCGUAGAUGAACAUGACCAGGAAGAGCAGGAGGCCGAUGUUAAACAAGGCAGGAAGGGA